rnacentral:rRNA from 1 species
UGGGGAAUUUUGGACAAUGGGCGAAAGCCUGAUCCAGCAAUGCCGCGUGUGUGAAGAAGGCCUUCGGGUUGUAAAGCACUUUUGUCCGGAAAGAAAUCCUCUGGGUUAAUACCUCGGGGGGAUGACGGUACCGGAAGAAUAAGCACCGGCUAACUACGUGCCAGCAGCCGCGGUAAUACGUAGGGUGCAAGCGUUAAUCGGAAUUACUGGGCGUAAAGCGUGCGCAGGCGGUUUUGUAAGACGGAUGUGAAAUCCCCGGGCUUAACCUGGGAACUGCAUUCGUGACUGCAAGGCUAGAGUAUGGCAGAGGGGGGUAGAAUUCCACGUGUAGCAGUGAAAUGCGUAGAGAUGUGGAGGAAUACCGAUGGCGAAGGCAGCCCCCUGGGCAAUGACUGACGCUCAUGCACGAAAGCGUGGGGAGCAAACAGGAUUCAGGAUACCCUGGUAGUCCACGCCCUAAACGAUGUCAACUAGCUGUUGGGGUUUAUUAACCUUAGUAGCGCAGCUAACGCGUGAAGUUGACCGCCUGGGGAGUACGGUCGCAAGA